UAAAACCUUGCGUAAACAACAUCACAAGUCACCCAACUAUUGCUUCUCUUUUUUGGUCAUCCAACUAUAAUUAUUUUUUAAUAUGGUCAACUAAUUAUUUGAGAUAUAUUUUUGGCCCAUUUUUAUUAAGUAAUCAAAUCUUUGACGAGAGAAUGAUGUGGCAAUUAAAAAAAUCAGUAACAAGGCCAAAUCCAUUAAGAAAUUGGCUACCCUUUCGUGGUGAAAAGGGGUGCCUUCGGUAGCCUAAGACAAAGCAGCAUGCUAGGGUCAUCUCUAGCAAGGCUCAACUUAGAAGGCAAUGGAGUCAUCUAAUGUUGGGCUUUAUAAAUAACAUAGGAAAUAAUUGUUUUGUUGAUAUGGGACUUUACAUUUUAUACAUUUAUGUAUAAAUUACUGUUUUCUCAAGGAACUCCAUUUACUUCCACCGACUUCAAUCUAAAUUGUAUCUUUCGAUUAUCCUUUUGCUUGUUUCACUUCGUUGUGCAGUUGCAUUUUAUUCUCCACUGAAUCCUAGGCAAUUUGAAUUCUAUUGAAGCAAGCAUUGCAUCACCCAAAACAACAUUAUAGGCAUCCAACGGUAUAUUAUAUUUUAUUGUUCUUAUCUAAUAUUUUUUUAUAUACAAACAUAUGAGUAUAAUUAAUCUUCCAAAUAUAUUAGAAAUGUGCAGCUGCUCUGAAACGAGGGACCGGUUCCACAGAUCCUCUCCCAUUGUCGAUCAGUUAUACAAGUCAUUAAACUUUUAAAAAAUAACAAAUCAGUCCUAUUAACUAUUUUCCGUUACAGUUGUAAUAGAAAAGUGACCUGGAAUUGAACCAACCACCACGUUAUUUUGAACCCAAAAAAUAUAUAAGGGUAAAUUACACCAGUCAUUCAACUUUUAAUUCAAUCACUUAACUUUCAAAAAAUAACAAAUCACUCAUACUAACUUUCAAAAAACCAGACACCCAAAAAGAAGAACAAAUAAAACCCUUGAAUGAAUUCUUCUUGUUCAGGAAAAAAGCUGAGAACUAGGGCUUCCUCAUUGUCAUUACUCCCAAAAUACCCUUUUCAAGUAUCCUUUCUAGAGUACCCGUUAGGUCCAUGACCUUAUUCAAAUCCUUUUCCAAGGACUGGGCUUACCGCACCUCGACCCCAACUUUAGUUAUCAACCAUCUCUACUUACAUGGUUAGGGGUGUUACAUGGUUUCAAUUAAAAACUAAACAAAAUUAAUUCUAUAUGAGCACCAGACAAUUAUAAUUUACUUCAUAUUAAUGUUCACAUAAUCACAGUAAGAUUCAACUCUACUUACAACACAAGGUAAGACAUCAUGACCAUUAGCACGAAAUUAGAAAAAUACAUUGGGUGUAAUCAAGUCGAGUUGAGUCUGAAUACUGUCAAAUUUGAGUCUGACUCAAAGUUUAGAACUCUCGACUAAGCUCGUUUAUUGAUUUUUGUACUCAAACUCUGCAAUAUAUAUUAAGGGGAAUACAAACGCUAAUAGCAAAUAAAUGUUAACUUAGAAAUAAUUUGAUACACAUAUAAAAAAUUGAUUUGAUGAAUGUGGGAAUGCUUUCUGGGUUUAUCUUUGAUUUUAGUACGAUGCUUUGCUUUGACAAAUUUGUUUCGUGUCAAAGGUGUUAUGGAAUCUUGUUUUGGUGUCUUAUCUAGUUGUCUUGUUUCUUGGACGCUUGAGUGUUUUCGUAAUCUAAUGACGCAAAGUUAUUUUGACUUUGUAUUUUUUUUACUUUUAAUAAAAAAAAUUUGCCCUUUGUCCAAAAAAAAAGAAGAUUGAUGAGCACAUAAAAGGGCAUAAAAAGAUCUUUGAGAGAGGGUUUAGAAGUACAAAUACAGUACAAUAUAGCAUGUCGAGACAAGUGUGUUGAAGUUAUUGUCAAAGUGUCAACGUUAGUGGCUACUAUAACUAAUACUACAACAGACCUCUGUUAGUUGCCAUGUUUGAAUAAUGCUAAUAUUGUGAAAGUAUGAAAAUUCGUCUAUGAAGUUCAAUCCAUUAGAAGAAACUUAUCUUGAAGAUUGGAUUGAAUUGGAUCAUGCAAUCGUAUUCAUUGGAUUGUAGAGAUUGGAUCGGGGUAGAAUUGAAGACAUAUCUCCAACAAUUUACAUUACGUUGGUCUUUACUAUUAUAUUGUAUCUUUUUAUUUUGCUUAUUUAAUAGGACAAUUGAUUGUAAUUAAUCUCUAACUUGUAAUGUGUUUCUUUAUUUCUUUUGGAUAUACUGUCUUUGGGAUGUUUUUAUUUUCAAGCAUGAACUAAUUUUCUAAAUACCUAGUGGAGAUGAACCUUAUGAUGAAGUUUGUAUUUUGAUAUUUAUUUUAUGUAAUAAGUACUUAGAUAUUGUUCUCAAAUAUGUGUGCUUAAUUCUUAGUUUGAUAUUUCUUAAUUAUUGAUCCCUGUUUGAUUUGCUUAAAUUAGAGGAGAAAUAGACCCUGUUUAAGAGUAAAUUUUAUGUAAUUGAGUGGAAUUGCAUGUAAUCUUAGAAAUAAGACGACAUAAAUCUAUCGAAUUAGAGUCAAAACUAAUAGGCGAAUCCAUAGAACGAGUUAAUGCGAUAAUAGAUAUUUUAAUUAGAAAGAAAUUUCAAUUAAUCAACCUAGAGGUAGUUGCUUUUACUUUGGAAAGGAGAUAUUAAUAUAAUUUAAGGAUUUUUGUAGAUCAAGUUACUAUGUAAAGAAAUUGCGAAAUUUAGAUUGAUAGUGACAGAUGAAAUCUAGGUGAGUUCUUUCUUGGAUAUUGUUUCGCUUCUUGGUUGUUACUUGUUUGUUUUCAUGUUUUGUUCUUUCUUGUGUUCGUAAGUUAAUUAAUUUAGCUAAUUUUAGUUUUAAUCACACUCUAAUUUAUCAGUUAAAUAAUAGAAAGGCGGCAAUUACUAGUACUUCUAGUAUUCGUGGGAAUGAUAUCUUGUUCAUUGUAGCUAUACCAUUAAUUGAUAGGUGCACUUGCUAAUAGUUCUUUCUAAUAUUCUUGUGAUACCUUGCUCAUCGUAGCUAUACUAUUAAUUGAUAGGUGCACUUGCCUUAGUCAAAUUUCUAAUUAGUUCAAGAUGCAUUAAGUUUUUGGCGUCGUUGCUGGGGAUUAGAAUAUUAGGAAAACUUUAUUUCUAUCGAUUUAGCCAUUUUUUAUUUUAAUUUUAAUACUUUUUUUAAUUUAAUUUUUUAGAUUCUUAUUUUUAUUUUGUUUGAUUCUUACAAGUUCUUUUGAUUUAUUACUAGAGGCAACUUGUUGGAAUCAUUAGUUUUUUUACAAUGAAAUUGAAAAGACAGGUCGCCAAAAUCGUCGAAAGGUCAGAAAAGUGAGGCAAGGUCAACAUAUUGUAAUAGAUGAUACAGAGCAAAAUGGCAUUACUGCACGUCCUGCUCCUCGGACUAUAUAUAAUUAUGCCAAGCCCACUCUAAUAGAGGCUCAAUCGUGUAUCAUUAGACUGACUAUUAAUAUAAACAACUUUGAGUGUAACGUCCCCUAACCCUAUACUGUCGCCGGAACAGGGUUACAAGACAUUACCAGUCAGUACAGCCCAAUUCCGGUUAUUAAUUAAAAUAAAUAUUCACACUCACCCUAGUUUUAAGUUGUCGUCCCAUUAAUGGGCCCUCGCGAUCCAAUAUGAACAGUAAAUUCAAUUUGGAACUUAUUUAGAAUCACUACGAAUUUUUAAAAAAUUUCAAAAUUCAUACUAUAUACCGUUGCCAACCGUAAUUUACUCAUUUCAUCAAUACUUUUACAACCUAAAUGACUCUCAUUAAACAUCCUAGGUACAUGCCAUUAUCAAUACUCAACAUACUUUACCUCAUUGAAUUCUGGAUCGGCCUGGGAUGCUGAUUCAACAGUCUAGCCUUAACUUAUCCUGCGCACGAAAACAAACCGUACGCUGAGUAUACACUCAGUGGUAUUUCUAUAAUCCAAACACUUAAACAAUUAUAAAACUUAUUAAUUUAUAUAUAUUGAACUAUUCAAACUCAAUGAGUAUUCAAACAUUCACUUUCCAACCAUUGUUUUGGUCUACUUUAAAUUUCAAAUCAUUUAUUAAAUUCAAUAGCAAUUAAUCAAUCAGUAAUGUUCAUUAACAAUCAGAACAAUUAUUUAUUCAGUAAUAGUCAGUUAUUCGGUAACAAUCAAUUAUUCAAUAAUAAUCAGUUGUUCAGUAUCAAUCAACUGAUCGGUUAUCCAGUAACAGUCAAUUAUUCAGUAAAAAUCAGAUUUACAGUAACAAUUAAAUUAUUUAGUAACAGUCGAUCUUUCCAGUUCCUCUAUUUACCCCUAUUAACAUGACUCGGACCUAGACGGAUACAAGGAUCCAACCAACACACCAGUACGGCACAUAGUGCCUCAUCGGCCGAAACCAGAACAAUAACAGUAACAGUAGCAGUACGGUACAUAGAGUACCUCAUCGGAACAAAUCCGAAACAGUAACAGUAACAUUACGGUACACAGAGUACCUCAUCGGAACAAAUUCGAAACAGUAACAGUAACAGUAACGGUAACAGUAACAAUAUCCGACACACAAAAUGUUGAAUCGGUAAUAGUAACGGUAACAGUAACAGUAGUCGGCACAUAAGUACCUGAUCAGUAAGCCGGCAAAACCCGUAUUCUUCCAUAUCCUAUGGCAUGCCAACUAUAUCCGACUAGUUCGACUAGUUAAUAGGGUAUUUAAUUCAUUUUCAGUUUUCAAUUAAUUCAUAUUUUAAUUAAUUAACUAUAUAUUUUCAAUUCAAUAUAAUUCCAUUCACUUUUCACUAAUAAAUAUUCAAUUCCAUAAUAAUCAAAAUUUUCUAUCAAUUUUAUCACACUUCCAACUACAUAUAUUUUCCAAUAUAACAAAUAUUUAUUAUUCAAUUUUCACAUCAAUAUUCAUUUCAAUUCAAACAUUUAUAUAUAUUCAUAAAUCAAUUCAAUAUAAAUUUAUCACACACUAAAUUAAUCCAUUUCCAUUAUAAACACGAUAAUUCUCACUUCAACAUUUAUUAAUUGCAUUAAUAAAAAAAUUAUAACAAUUAAUAACUAGGUUCAGAUUAUAAAAAUACAAACCGUAGUUUUUGAGCUAACUUCUGUUGACUUUGUCUUGUCCUUUCUUAACCGAGAUUUCCGGUACCACAUUGACUACGAAAUUAAUACAAUUCAUAAUCAUUAAUGCAUUACUAAUUUAUAUCUUGAGUUACAUAAUUAUAAAUUAAGAUUCGCUAAUUUUUCCUGAAACUAGACUCAGAAAUCUUCUUACCAUAAAAUUUUCAGAAUUUUUAGUUUAGCCAUUAAGUACAGUUUAUUCUUUAAAUUCACCCCUAUUCUGCUGUCUGACAGUUUCGACCAUUCUUCACUAAAAAAUAAUUAUAUAAUAGUACAGAACUCGGAUAAUAUUCCUGUUGAUUUAUCCUGAAAAUAGACUCAUUAGGGAUUCUAAACAUAUAACUUUAAGCCUCUAAUUAUUUUUCUCCAAUUUUUGGUGAUUUUCCAAAGUCAGAACAGGGGAACCCAAAUUCAUUCUGAACUUGUCUCACUAAAUUCAUUAUAUCUCACAAUUUACAACUUAAUUGCUUACACCGUUUCUUCUAUAAGAAACUAGACUCAAUAAGCUUUAAUUCCAUGUUUUAUUCAUCCUCUAAUUCAAUUUCUACAAUUUUUGGUGAUUUUUCAAACUUAGACUACUGCUGCUGUCCAAAAUAGUCUUAGUGCAAAAUGUUGAUUUUCUACUUUUAAUUUCAAUUUAAUCCUAACUAAAUUCACUUACUUUUCUAUCUUAAUUCAUACUUUAUUUCUACUCAAUUUUUAACUAAACUCAUACUUAACUAUUAAAUUUCCAGCAUAUUUUCCUAAUUUCUAAAUUUCAUCAAUUUAGUCCCUACAACAUAAAACUUAUGAAUUACUUUACAAUUCAAUCUUUAUUUCAUUUCUAACUUGAAUUCCUAUCAAUCUAACCCAUAAUUCAUCUUUUUAUUCAACAUGAACAAUAUUUAAAAAUCUAAUAACUUUCAAAAUAUUCACUUAAUUUCAUCAAAACCUUGUCUCAAAGCUUCCAAAACAUCAAAAUUAAGUAAAAAAGGCUAAAUUGACUUACCUAUUUAACUUUCAAGCCUUGAAAUCCCAAUUUUUCCCUUUUUCCUUCUUUCUUUUUUCUUUCCUUCUUUUUUUCCCCUGCUCUCUGUUUCGUUUCAUCCUUUCUUUCUUUUUCUAUUCUUUUUCUUUUUAUUCCUUUUACUUUUUAUAUAUAUAUAUAUAUUAUAAUAACUUAAUAAUAGCUAUAAUAAAAUAUCUAUUUAAUAUCCAAUAUCUAUUUUACAUUUGUAUACACAUAUAUUAUUACAUUUGUCUUUCUUUAAUCUAUUUAUUAUAUAAAUAUCUUUUACUUAAUAAUAAUAUAUAAUUUAAUAAUAUACUUAUAUAAUAAGUACAUAUAGAUGUAUUUUACAAAUGUAUGUAUAUUAGUAUCACACAUGUCACUAUACAUACCAUAUAUUUUUCAACUUUUUAUUUAUUUAUCAUAUAAUAUUAAUUUAAUAAUCAUAAAUACAUUAAUAUUUACUUAAAUAAUAAGUAAAUAAAUAUAUGUAUUACAAAUGUGUGUAUUAUAUUUAUUAUACUUGUAUUUUAUUUUUGCCAUACACUUGGCACUCUUUUUGGUUUAUUUACUUAUUUAGUCCUUUUAAUUUUCUUUAUUCUAUAAUUAAACUUUCACACUUCAUUCAAGUUAAUCAUUUUAUCAAAUUAUUCUUAAUUAAAUUAAAUUCACUUAAUUAAACUCUAAUUAACCACUCAUUUUACUUUGUAAAUAUUUUUAAAUAAAUAUUUACGAAUCCACUUUUUAGAAAUAAAGACUCGAAAAUACACUUUUUCGGUAACAGUGAAAUUUGGGUCGUUGCAUUGAGAUUAAGCUAAACACAAUUAAAAAAUCAGUAAAACAAAAACAGAAACAUUUUCUAUUUUGUAAGGUAAAACAAAAAACAUGGACAGAUAUAAUCAGGAAAAAAAAGUAAAUGCUACAUAACCAUGAAAGAUAGGAUAGACCCCCACCGGUUUAGCAGGGAACAAGGCCAAAUCCAUUAAGAAAUUGGCUACCCAUUCGUGGUGAAAGCGGGUGCCUUCGAUAGCCUAAGACAAAGCAGCAUGCUAAGGUCAUCUCUAGCGAGGCUCAAC
rnacentral:lncRNA from 1 species